AUUACGCAGUCAGCACAUAGUGCGCAGCAGAAGGAGAAGAGCAGGAAACUUUCCAGGACAAUAUGAAAACGUGUCUAAAUACUAUUUUUGUUAUGUUUUUGUUAACUAUUUACGUUGUUUUGUUGAUUUUCCACCGUGUUCCUGUUUUGGAGAUGUUUUAUUUUCUGGAACGGGACUUGGACAAUUAGAUUGGGUUGAAGAACUAUCGAGAUAGAUCGACAUAAGAGAACAUGUGCAGGAGCACAUGUGCUUGAGAUAAAGAUGGCGAGCCACCCACGGAACCUGUGAACUGCGCAUGCGCCAGGACCAGUUCAGGAGCAACAAGCCCUCUGCUGACCGGUGCAUGGUACUACAACUGGUAGGAUAAUCCAAUCUUUCUGCAAAACUGCAGUGGACCAAGGAUAACCACUGGAUUGUCCAAGACAAUCAAAGGACUAACAAAUAGAAAAGUUAUUCAGUCUUUUGCUGAAUUAUUUUGAAUUUGGUACAUUGUUCUAUUCUUUUGGUAUUUUCCUUAAUUAUUGUAAAAGGGUUAUUUUUGCAAUAAGUAAUUUGUAUGUUUGUAAACAAACUAACAAAUGUAAAAUUCCAAAAACUUGAAGGGAACCAGAAUAGAACUAAACUUGGUUUACUUUCAACCAAGUAGCUAAUUAGAAAUUGAUCAAGAACUAACACGAACUAAACAAAAGGUUGCAACCGAGUACUAAACCAACAACGGAACUAAACAUUAGCCAUAAUACCAAAUCUAGUGGUAAUAUGGUAUAAAACUUAAUUCUUUAAACCAAAAUAAGUUUUAAACAGAAAAGAGGCAGAAAGGUUUAACUCAACUGGAAGUGUGUAUUAUAUGUUUGUAUGUGUAAAUGUUUUUUGUCCAUAUUUGUACUUUUUCAAUAAUAAGCCGGCAGUUCAACUUA